rnacentral:rRNA from 1 species
GAUGAACGCUGGCGGCGUGCCUAAUACAUGCAAGUCGAGCGGACGGACGAGACGCUUGCUUCUCUGAUGUUAGCGGCGGACGGGUGAGUAACGCGUGGAUCACCUACCUAUAAGACUGGGAUAACUUCGGGACACCGGAGCCAAUACCGGAUAAUAUCUUGAACCGCAUGGUUGAAAAGUGAAUGACGGUCUUGCUGUCACUUCUAGAUGGAUCCGCGCUGCUUUAGCUAGUUGGUAAGGUAACGGCUUACCAAGGCAACGAUGCAUAGCCGACCUGAGAGGGGGAUCGGCCACACGGGAACUGAGACACGGUCCAGGGUCCUGCGGGAGGCAGCAGUAGGGAAUCGGACGCAAUGGGCGGAAGCCUGACGGAGUGGCGCCAAGUGAGUGAUGAAGGUCUUCGGAUCGUAAAACUGUGUUACGGGUGAAGAACAGAUGUGGAAGGAACUGUGCACAGAGUGACGGUACCUGAUCAGAAAGCCCCGGCUAACUACGUG